rnacentral:rRNA from 1 species
UACGGAGGGUGCAAGCGUUAUCCGGAUUCACUGGGUUUAAAGGGUGCGUAGGAGGGCAGGUAAGUCAGUGGUGAAAUCCUAGAGCUUAACUCUAGAACUGCCGUUGAUACUAUCUGUCUUGAAUAUUGUGGAGGUGAGCGGAAUAUGUCAUGUAGCGGUGAAAUGCUUAGAUAUGACAUAGAACACCAAUUGCGAAGGCAGCUCGCUACACAUAUAUUGACUCUGAGGCACGAAAGCGUGGGGAUCAAACAGGA